AUGAUCCAACGGCUGAGAACUAACCCUUCCCCCUCUUAUAAAUAUCCAAACGGACCCACUAAACCCCAUUACCCUCUCAUUUCAUCUCCUUGCCGUCACAUUACCUAACCCUAGCCGCCCCUAAACGCCAAACCUUAUCGGCCGGCGGCGCCACUCCAAACACCUUCAUCUUUUAACCAGGCAACCACCAUAACCCCAUCGUCCUAUAUCUAUUACCAAUUGCUCCAAAACCCAUACCCAUUUGCUCAAAUUUUAGAUCUAGGUUCUGAAAAAAGACCAACCCUAAACUGUCCUUUCUCUUUUGGUUUUUGGGGGUUUCAUGGUUCGAUUGAGACAAACGUCAUGCCAAUCGAUCGAUUGGCACUAGUUUUGGCUUAUUUCGAGGCCAUCAAACCCCGACCAGGUCAACGCUGACCGGCCAAGUUUCGACAGAUACCCUUGCCCUUUGAUCUACCUUAUUUGUUCAAGUUUUGCCGGCCAAAAAUCAGGUUGUUUCUGCUUCUUCUCUAUUUCUCUUUAGUUAACUGUUCUGUUUUUUUAUUUAUAAUUUAGGCAUCAUUUCUUGUUUAUUUUGUAGGUUUGUUUGAAUUUAAAUAAAAUAAGUUACUUAGUUAAUUGUUGUCAUUUAAAAUUACUUCGAUGCAUUUUAGGAUCAUUAGGUCGGGUUACUUUUAAUUAAGGUUUGUUUUUCUUCGAUUGGUUACCUCUGAUUUGGGGCUGCAUGGUUUAAUAUUUCUUUCUUUGCCUUUUAAUUGUUACUUUCAGAACUUGAACAUAGGUUUUAAUAAUCCCCCUUUUAAACUCAUGCUAAUAUUAGAUUUAAAGCUUUCAUCCGUAUUUGUUUCAUUUCUGUUAAAUUAGGGUUAAAUUAUUUCUUCUGUAUUUGUUUCAUUUUUUGGAUUCUGCUCAUGCAAAUUGAUUUUAUUUUCUUAGUUUCAAGUUUUUUCGCUCAAAUAGUCUCUUCUUUGAUCUUUUCGUAUAUAUUGAUUUUGGCCUUAAGAUGUUGGUUCUGAUUUAUUCACAAUUAGGAACCCUAGGGACCUAAGUGAACAAAGAAAUUUUGAGUAGAGGCUGUAAGCAAGCUUUAGAAGGGAAUUUGAGGUUUUUCCAAUUUUGAAAAUAUCAGAACACUCUAGAAGAAGAGGCAGUUGGCCUCAUUUGGUUAGUACAAACGUACUGAAACCAAUGGGAAAAAACCAGUUGUCCAAGUUGGUUGGAAUAUGCUUUUUGUGGCUGGGGAAUAAUCCCUCCAGCACAUGGCAUCUUUGGUACCUAUAUAUGGUACCAUAUCCAUACAGAAAAAUCAGAUUAUAUUAACAUAAAAAACUCUAAAAGUUCCCUGCACAUUUUCAUUCUAAGUUCAUUCAAAAAAGCAUACUAGUUCUCUUUUAAAAAAGGGGUUCUAUUUCAUCAGUUUUUCUGGGGUUCUAAGGGUGAAGUAGAGUUGGUUAUUUGAAGCUGUGGUUUAUGUUACUGUGUUGGUGUUGUUGUCUUCUGCGGAUUUUCUCUUGUUUUGACACUCAAAAUUUUCCUUUGUUUUUGCUGUUGUAACCAGGUACUGCACCAAACCAUUGAAAUACAAAGCUGAAACUUGUUUGGUUGGAUGAUUGAAGUUGUGGAUCUAUAUUUCUUCUUUUAUCUAGAACACUAUUUGGUUCUUCUUCCUGUUUUAUUUCUUUCUCUUCAUCUAUUUAAAUUCUCAUGUCAUUAUGUAAAAAUUGAUGCCUAUUUUUGUUCAGUUGUUGAGCUAAAGGUUAGCAAUAAGAACUUCAUGUGUACUUAAAAACUGGACUCUUAUUUGAAAGAUUGCAUAUGUGGGACUAUUUAUUUUUUUUAGAUAAACAUAUUAGUAUAAGUAUGAUGAAAUGUCAGUACUACAACUAGAUUUCUUAUUCAUUAGCAUGACUGUAAUAUACACGAUACCUGGAAGCUUUGAAAAUUCUGAUUUAGAAUGAAGAUUUCAAUUGAAAAUUCCUUUGCACAUUCUGCAAAUAAGAGUUAGUCUCUUUAUAAGAAAAGGAUACAACCAUUUGG
rnacentral:lncRNA from 1 species